CUGUUAAAAUACGCACUCCAAGCGAGGUUUAAAGUUGAGUCGUUCAGUACCUGCAUAUCAUUGACUGAGCAAAGGUAAGUCAAUUAAGCUUUUUUCCUCGCUGAGCAGUCCGCUACCCUCCCCGCUGACCUCCCUUCCGGCGCGUACGGGUCGGAGAGCGGCGGCCGCUAGCAGCCACGCAACCUCCCGCCAAAACCCGAGAGCGCCUACGCCUCCUCCUGCUGCGCCUGCCUCUCCGCCUGCGAGGCGGUAGUGGCGGCAGCGGCUGAGGCAGCCUAGUGCAGUUACUGACCAAGUUACGGUCAAUGAGCCUCCUCCUCCAACGCAGGCGCUAGCUGCUGCAAGAAGGAUAGGUACUAGGCCGGUCUCACCCCGAACUGCGCCCGCUCUUCUCCCUCUACCAAGCGGCCUAUCAAGUGGCUUCUUGGAGCAGCCGCCGCCAGUUCGGCACCUUUCCGGGAGAAGGUUUCCAACAUAAGGCCCGAUGACGCGAUUAGGCAUACACCAGUAAUGAGUGAGGCUGCCUCCGGUCCCGCGCAAACCAAUGACCUAGACAGGCCACCCUCUACCAUCGCGCCCUAUAGAAGUUGGCCAAACCUACCGCCGGUACAUUAUCCUAUCCGCUAAUCAAAUGGAUAGAGAGAUAUAAUACGGUCGGCCAACACCGAAGAGCUGGAACAAAAUAAAGUGAUCGAGAAACACUCGGUCGGAGGUAACAACGUCGUGUAACGUUCUGUAACAACUUAUGAAAUAGAUAAAUAUUUACACUGGCAUACGUAGUGAGUCUACGUCUCCGGCCCCUCAGGGGGAAUUAACCUCGUCGAGUUUCGUU
rnacentral:rRNA from 1 species